AAGUCGUAACAAGGUUUCCGUAGGUGAACCUGCGGAAGGAUCAUUACCAAUUUUUAAAUCUUCCAACCCAUGUGCACUAUGAUGAUUGUCUUGGUUUUUGGGGUGAGCUGUUACUACGGUCGUCACCCCAACCGAUUUUCUAAACUACUUUUAUUAUUGUCUUGGCAUCAAAAUUGUCUUUGAUAAAUUAUUAUGACAACUUUUAACGGUGGAUCUCUUGGCUCGUGGA
rnacentral:misc_RNA from 1 species